UUUUGAUGGUUCACGUCGUAUAGCCAUAAAAACUGCUCGACUUUUUCUAGAUUUUUAAAUUCGCUCUCUGCUUUGUUUCAUUUCUCUUAAAAAAUGAAUUUAAAUUAGUACGGGAAUACGAAUCCAACACACCUUCGAGUUGGUGCUCGUAGGUGCUCGGACCUGCAGUAGUUGAAUGGGGCUUGUUGUGCCCCAAUUAUUUUGCACUGGCUCCGACUUCAACCACCACCAUUACCCCGCUAAAUACAGAAGAGAUCUGGUAGAUGGUGCACCAGUCCUCACUUUUACAGGGUGAUUCUUUCAACUAAUUUUUUUAAUCGGAACUUGCAUACAAGAAAAGUGCUGAGAAUUGAAAGUGGUUAAAUAUUUCGAGAUCACCAAA